GGAUUUAAUAUUUUUAAUCGCAUAUAAUAUAUUUUAAUAAGAAAAACAUAUUGCUGUAUAAUAAUUUAUUUUUCAACAGGAUAAAGGACCAAGUUGACAGACAAAAUCAAGCCCAGAGUCUCUUUGUACGUUUGGUUUGGUAACUACUAGUAUAGGCUUCCACAAAACUGGUCUGUGCUUCAUUUCCGAUACUCUCAAGCUCCAUUUCAGCAUCUACAGAGAAGAACUCAGCAUCCCAUCAAAAUCGAAUCCAAAUUAUGCUCUCAGGGCUGGCUACUGGAGGUCACUUGCAGCCCAAAUUUAUCAAUUUGCAAACAAGGCAUGCUCCUGGUUUUGAGGUGGGGAAAUUAUAUUUUUCAAGAUUUAGGCCUCAUUUGAAUAACAGAAUCACUUGCAAAUUUUCCCCAUUAGAGAAAGUUGCAUUUACUAGUGAGGAACAUGAAAAGAACUGGCCUUUGGUUAAGAUGUGUGGAAUUACAAGUGCUAAGGAUGCUGCGAUGGCGGCAGAAGCUGGAGCUAAUUUUAUUGGGAUGAUACUUUGGCCCAAUUCAAAACGUUCCAUUUCACUUUCAGCAGCAAAGGAAAUUUCAAAAGUCGCAAGGGAAUAUGGAGCAAAACCUGUUGGGGUGUUUGUGGAUGAUGAUGCAGACACAAUAUUGAGAGCUGCAGAUGCUUGUGAUCUUGAAUUUGUUCAGCUUCAUGGAAAUGGUUCACGGGCAGCUUUUCCAGAUUUAGCUCAAAAACAAAUAGUAUAUGUUCUUCAUGCAAAUUCAGAUGGAGACCUUCUAAAUCAAAUUUCAGAUAAAGAUUGUUCAAUGGCUGAUUGGAUUCUUGUGGAUAGUGCAACAGGUGGCAGUGGCAAAGGAUUUAACUGGGCGCAGUUUAAGCUACCACCAAUUAGAAGCAAGCUUGGGUGGCUCUUGGCAGGAGGGAUCAACCCUGACAAUGUUUAUGAAGCUCUAUCUACCCUGAAACCUCAUGGUGUUGAUGUCAGUAGUGGCAUUUGUGGCUCAGAUGGCAUUAAGAAAGAUCAAUCGAAAAUAUCUUCCUUCAUGAGUGCAGUCCGUUCUGUGCAGUAUUGAUUGGUCAUGAGCAAGGGAAUCGAUCAGUAACUGCCAGACUGCAAAGCACCUGAUCAUAUCGCCGAAAAGACAUUAAAUUUUUACUAUGUAUUCAAUUCCAUUUUACUUUUGUCCAUCUCGGGGUAAAAAUGUGGAUGUAGCAUAAGCUUUUCCUCAUGCUAAAAUACUACCAGCACCUAAAACUGUAAAUUUGACUGUUUUAUUCAUUUACUUGGAGCAAGUUCAUGCGCAUCACAAGGAAUGUAG
rnacentral:misc_RNA from 1 species